UACGGAGGAUCCGAGCGUUAUCCGGAUUUACUGGGUUUAAAGGGUGCGUAGGUGGAAUGUCAAGUCAGUGGUGAAAACCUGCAGCUUAACUGUAGAAUUGCCAUUGAUACUGUCAUUCUUGAGUGUAUUUGAUGUAAGUGGAAUGUGUCGUGUAGCGGUGAAAUGCUUAGAUAUGACACAGAACACCCAUUGCGAAGGCAGCUUACAAAACUACUACUGACACUGAGGCACGAAAGCGUGGGGAUCAAACAGG
rnacentral:rRNA from 1 species